UGGACUAUUAACUCAACUGGUCAGAGUACCCGACUCUUAAUCGGGAGGUUCAGGGUUCGACUCCCUGAUAGUCUACCAA
rnacentral:tRNA from 1 species